CAAUAGCGUAUAUUAAAGUUGUUGCGGUUAAAAAGCUCGUAGUUGGAUUUCUGCUGAGGACGACCGGUCCGCCGUCCGGGUGAGCAUCUGGUUCGGCCUUGGCAUCUUCUUGGUGAACGUAUCUGCACUUGACUGUGUGGUGCGGUACCCAGGACUUUUACUUUGAGGAAAUUAGAGUGUUUCAAGCAGGCAUACGCCUUGAAUACAUUAGCAUGGAAUAAUAAGAUAGGACCUCGGUUCUAUUUUGUUGGUUUCUAGAGCUGAGGUAAUGAUUAAUAGGGAUAGUUGGGGGCAUCAGUAUUCUGAAGCGAGAGGUGAAAUUCUUGGACCUUCGGAAGACUAACAACUGCGAAGCAUUUGUCCAAGGAUGUUCUCUUUAAUUCAAGAACGAAAGUU
rnacentral:rRNA from 1 species